rnacentral:rRNA from 1 species
CCUACGGGAGGCAGCAGUGGGGAAUUUUGGACAAUGGGCGCAAGCCUGAUCCAGCCAUGCCGCGUGUGGGAAGAGGGCCUUCGGGUUGUAAACCACUUUUGUCAGGGAAGAAACGGCUCUUACUAAUAUUAGGAGCUAAUGACGGUACCUGAAGAAUAAGCACCGGCUAACUACGUGCCAGCAGCCGCGGUAAUACGUAGGGUGCAAGCGUUAAUCGGAAUUACUGGGCGUAAAGCGUGCGCAGGCGGCUUCGCAAGACAGAUGUGAAAUCCCCGGGCUCAACCUGGGAACUGCAUUUGUGACUGCAUGGCUAGAGUACGGUAGAGGGGGAUGGAAUUCCGCGUGUAGCAGUGAAAUGCGUAGAUAUGCGGAGGAACACCGAUGGCGAAGGCAAUCCCCUGGACCUGUACUGACGCUCAUGCACGAAAGCGUGGGGAGCAAACAGGAUUAGAUACCCUGGUAGUCCACGCCCUAAACGAUGUCAACUGGUUGUUGGACGGCUUGCUGUUCAGUAACGAGCUAACGCGUGAAGUUGACCGCCUGGGGGUAAGGUACGGCCGCGAGUAGUUAACGUUACAAGAGAGUUGNGGCGNGAGAGNGCGACGGACGACGACGAGGGAGGAGG